GGGAAGUUGUAUUGUGUGCCGGAAAGAGCAGCACACAUUGCCUCACAGGAAAGUUGAAGUAGAGGAGUUUGUUCUCUAUUCACAGGUCCCAUGAUGCUCAGAAUUGCUGCCCAUGUGCACCUCAGCUGCGAGGUUGUUCAGGGCUGGUGGAUGGGUGUGGAGAGCGAGAUGGGAGCCAGAGGAUGAGAGGAGAACAAGAGAGAUGCCUUCACCCAGAGCCCCUUUGGAAUCAGAAAUGAGUCUUAGGUUCUGGAGCAGAGUAAUAAAGAAAAUACAAAAGAAUCUCUGACUACAUGGAUCUUACAACCUAUUGGAACAACAGGUAAACAAAAGAGUAAACAUUUAGUUUGUCAGAUGUUGAUAAAUACAAUAGUAAAAAAAAUUGUGUUGUGUUGGGCUGUGGGUUAUUUCUGUUUUGUUAUGCAUUAAGGGAAGACCUUCCUGACAAAGUAUAUAAACAGGCUCCUUAAAGGAAGUGAGGGGACAAGUCAUGCAGAUAUUUGGGGGAAAAUCAUUCCAGGCAGAGAAAAAAGUACCUGCGAAGGACCUGAGACAGAAAUGUGCAGGUAUGUUCUAUGUUC
rnacentral:lncRNA from 1 species